GACGAACGCUGGCGGCGUGCCUAAUACAUGCAAGUCGACCUUAGUGGCGAAAGGGUGAGUAACACGUGGGUAACCUGCCCAUCAGAAGGGGAUAACACUUGGAAACAGGUGCUAAUACAGUAUACGGAUGGAUGGACGCGCGGGGCAUUAGCGAGUUGGUGAGGGCACGGCUCACCAAGGCCACGAUGCAUAGCCGCCCUGAGCGGUGGAUCGGCCACAUUGGGACUGAGAAACGGCCCAAACUCCUACGGGAGGCAGCAGUAGGGAAUAUUGGUCAAUGGACGAAAGUCUGACCGAGCAACGCCGCGUGAGUGAAGAAGGUUUUCGGAUCGUAAAACUCUGUUGUUAGAGAAGCGGUAUCUAACCAGAAAGCCACGGCUAACUACGUGCCAGCAGCCGCGGUAAUAC
rnacentral:rRNA from 1 species